rnacentral:rRNA from 1 species
AGAGUUUGAUCCUGGCUCAGAUUGAACGCUGGCGGCAGGCCUAACACAUGCAAGUCGAGCGGAUGAAGGGAGCUUGCUCCUGGAUUCAGCGGCGGACGGGUGAGUAAUGCCUAGGAAUCUGCCUGGUAGUGGGGGAUAACGUCCGGAAACGGGCGCUAAUACCGCAUACGUCCUGAGGGAGAAAGUGGGGGAUCUUCGGACCUCACGCUAUCAGAUGAGCCUAGGUCGGAUUAGCUAGUUGGUGGGGUAAAGGCCUACCAAGGCGACGAUCCGUAACUGGUCUGAGAGGAUGAUCAGUCACACUGGAACUGAGACACGGUCCAGACUCCUACGGGAGGCAGCAGUGGGGAAUAUUGGACAAUGGGCGAAAGCCUGAUCCAGCCAUGGCCGCGUGUGUGAAGAAGGUCUUCGGAUUGUAAAGCACUUUAAGUUGGGAGGAAGGGCAGUAAGUUAAUACCCUGCUGUUUUGACGUUACCAACAGAAUAAGCACCGGCUAACUUCGUGCCAGCAGCCGCGGUAAUACGAAGGGUGCAAGCGUUAAUCGGAAUUACUGGGCGUAAAGCGCGCGUAGGUGGUUCAGCAAGUUGGAUGUGAAAUCCCCGGGCUCAACCUGGGAACUGCAUCCAAAACUACUGAGCUAGAGUACGGUAGAGGGUGGUGGAAUUUCCUGUGUAGCGGUGAAAUGCGUAGAUAUAGGAAGGAACACCAGUGGCGAAGGCGACCACCUGGACUGAUACUGACACUGAGGUGCGAAAGCGUGGGGAGCAAACAGGAUUAGAUACCCU